rnacentral:rRNA from 1 species
CGUGGGUGACCUGCCUUUAGCUCUGGGAUAAGCCUGGGAAACUGGGUCUAAUACCGGAUAUGACCUCAUGAUGCAUGUUGUGAGGUGGAAAGCCUUGUGCGGCUAGAGAUGGGCCCGCGGCCUAUCAGCUUGUUGGUGGGGUGAUGGCCUACCAAGGCGACGACGGGUAGCCGGCCUGAGAGGGCGACCGGCCACACUGGGACUGAGACACGGCCCAG